GUGACCUAGACCUACCUUCAAGGCAAGUUACGCCUGCAAAGCUUCAAGGUAGCCGGCACCUGACUUUAAGCGCGGUGAAGCAUGACAACACACUGUUCAGUUUUUUGCCUGCCGUACUCAGGUAAAUCUACACUUUACAAUGUAAUAGAC
ensembl:ncRNA F28E10.15 ncRNA